rnacentral:rRNA from 1 species
CAGCCGCGGUAAUUCCAGCUCCAAUAGCGUAUAUUAAAGUUGUUGCAGUUAAAAAGCUCGUAGUUGAAUUUCGGGGUUAGUAGGUUGGUCAUGCCUCUGGUAUGUACUGGUCUCACUGAUUCCUCCUUCCUGAUGAACCGUAAUGCCAUUAAUUUGGUGUUGCGGGGAAUUUGGACUGUUACUUGAAAAAUUAGAGUGUUUAAAGCAAGCUAACGCUUGAAUACAUUAGCAUGGAAUAAUGAAAUAGGACGUUCGAUCCUAUUUUGUUGGUUUCUAGGGAUUGACGUAAUGAUUAAUAGGGAUAGUUGGGGGCAUUAGUAUUCAAUUGUCAGAGGUGAAAUUCUUGGAUUUAUUGAAGACUAACUACUGCGAAAGCAUUUGCCAAGGAUGUUUUCAUUAAUCAAGAACGAAAGUUAGGGGGAUCGAAGACGAUCAGAUACCGUCGUAGUCUUAACCAUAAACUAUGCCGACUAGGGAUCGGAUGAUGUUAAUUUUUUAAUGACUCAUUCGGCGCCUUACG